rnacentral:rRNA from 1 species
UACGUAGGGUGCGAGCGUUGUCCGGAAUUACUGGGCGUAAAGAGCUCGUAGGUGGUUUGUCGCGUUGUUCGUGAAAACUCACAACUCAAUUGUGGGCGUGCGGGCGAUACGGGCAGACUGGAGUACUGCAGGGGAGACUGGAAUUCCUGGUGUAGCGGUGGAAUGCGCAGAUAUCAGGAGGAACACCGGUGGCGAAGGCGGCUCUCUGGGCCUUACCUGACGCUGAGGAGCGAAAGCGUGGGGAGCAAACAGG